rnacentral:sRNA from 1 species
UAAUAAAGACAUAAAAAGAGCCGGUGUUGCAAUCACCAGCCCUUCUAUGUAGAGCCGUUUAAGACGGUGACGUAGGGUUACUAUUAAAUA